UCCUCUCCCCUCUCUAAGCGCCGCCCUCCAUCUCUCCAGAUCGCCGCCUCCGGCGAGAAUCGCCAGCCGGCAAAGAGGAGACAGUCGCCUCUUCUCUUCUGCUCCGCCUCUCUUCUCUUCUCCUCUCUUCCCGCCAGAUGGAGCAACCAGCAGCUUCAGCCGGUGACAACAGCAGCUAGCGAACGGCGAGGACCUCCGACCAGCAGCCUGGAAAAGCGAGCAGCAGUAGCCGACGGAAACAGCAGCAUGCCUUUCCCCUCUCCGGCGGGUUCGAGGUAACCAGCAGCCAGUCAAGACCACUAACCUACUUCGACAAAAUCCCGGUGAAAUCCAUCGGAAACAACAACAACAAAAGCACUGCAGCGGAUUCCGGUGGAGCUUUUGAAGAUUUCGAGUUAAUUAAAAGAUGGAUCUUAACAGAUCCAUCCAGGUUUGAACAAAAGUUCAAGAUAUGGAGAGUCGCCAUGAGUGGGAAACAAUAGACGAAUCGAAUUCAUCUAAUUUAUGUCUUUGUAUAAGUUUUAACUUUAUUAUCGUUGUGUAAUAAUUUGUAUAACUCUCAACUCUCUCUAUAUAUGAAUAACUUGGGGAUCGUCUAAGGGGGAGGGGGAUAUACGUGCUAAUUGUUUCUUUUCAUUUCUAGUCUAGUUUAUUUUUUGCUAUGUGUGAUUGCUAAAACAUGUCUACGUUGCUUAAAUUGUAAACCUUGCAAGCAUAUUAGAAUAUAUCUAAAUAUUGGCUUAAAAUCAACCUUUGUUUAUAAUCCUAUCAGAUUAAUCAACUUAUCAUGAAUAUAUGUUUAAAUUUGCUUGAUCUUGAAUUGGUAGAAUCUUGUCUCAACACUAAUGUUGUUAAAAUUUGGAAAGUGAUUAAUGACAUUCAGACAUCAUGCCUCUAGGAUUUUAAUAUAAUAAAUUCGAGUAAGUCAGUUGGUUUAUUUAUUUAGAAGUCAUGUCUUUAGGUCUAGAUUAACAUCAUGUCAAUAAAAUAUGGCUAGAUACAUAAAUUCAGUUUGCCAUAAAGUUUUGCCUAAAGUGUUUAAUAAUCCGUUUAAAUAAAUAUCAUGCCUAUAGGAUUUAAUAACUUGCUUAAAUGAAAUAGAAUGUCAUGCCUAUAUCUUGAUACUAUUCCAGCAUGUUUAUACUUAGAAAUCAUGCCUAUAGGUUUUACAUAUUUUUAAAUAUAUUAUUUGGGUGUAGAAAUUAAGCAUAUAGGUUUCAAGUGACUUUUUAGUUUUAUUUGGAAAUCAUGCCUUCGGAUUAAUAAUUAAUUGUUGUAGAAAUUAAUCGAAUGUCAAAAAAAAAAAAUAUAUAAUUUCUCAGCACGUUAAACAAAUGAAAUAAUUUGCUGCAUAUUCCUGCUCCUUGUUUAAAUAAUUUUCUGCAUUGCAACUAUAUUCUGCCAUUUAAAAUCAAUUCAUAAACUAUUUUCCAGCAUGUUUUUAAACUAAAACUUGAUGUGCAUAUUUGCUGAACGGCUAAAUCAUGCCCGGAAUUAAUUAUUUUCUGCAUGUUGAACAUGUCCUGCAAAUUUAAAAUAAAUCAUUUUCUGCAUUUUUUAAUUUGUCCAUGUUGAGAAUAAUUACCAUUAUCUGCAUGUUGCUUUGCCAUUUAAAUUUGGCUCCUAAUUAAUUUCUGUAUUUAAUAAAUUGAUUGCUAUUUAAAAAUAAAUUUAGUUCGACCUGCUACUGCUCUAAAAAACGCCCGGAUCUGUAAUAAUUUUUGUGCCACUUUUAAAAUCAGUUUAUACCUAAAAUCUGCCUUAUGUCAUAACUAAUUGCCUUUUCAUUAAUUAAUUGUUAUAUUGUUAUGUUGCUUACUGCCUGUUUUAUAUGUGCACACACUCGCAUGCGAUCCUUUCACCUUAUUUGUGUUUGUCAGCAUGCUUAAUAAUCUAGAGGCCAAUUUGAGAUUUUAUGUGCUAAGUGUUGUCCUAUUUGUUUGACUUGGUGUCUAGGUGGGCCUAUUAUAUUUUUUAGUCUAUACCCACCCUAAUAGUAGUCCAAUGCCUCUUGGACCUUAAGCGGGAACGAUAGGCACUUUGUAGAGACGUUAAGCAUGCGGUGGUAGGGUAGGGGUAGUUUAGGCCCUAUGGAGAUGAUGACAUCGACUCGGUCUAAAUGACAAACUUUGGUUUUGUCUGUCCCUACGAGAAACCGACCGAAAUAAAGAAAAGUCGAGUGCUGAUCCUAAAGUCCUUCAGAGUCUCCCUUUCCUUUUCUCCCUUUACUUGUUAUAAUUAUUUGGGGUAGUUUAAUAAAAAAUAAAAAGUGUUUAUUCUA